CACAGAACAGAUACGCCCUCUGCCCUGAGGGAAGGCAGACAGACAGCAGGUCUGGCAGCACAGUGAAGUGCCCGGGUGGAGGUGUGCACAGGAGGGACCUCGAAUCACAGUAGUAUGGAAGACUUUCCCAAGCAGGUGGCUCUUAAGUCUGGAAGGAUGAGGAAGCUGUUCUGGGUGGGGAGUGGGGACAGUAURUGCGCGGAUCUGAAGGUGUUUGUUCCAAGAGCUUCUGGUUGCUGGCUGGUCACWGUGGCUGGUGCUCAGAGCUGGAGAAGGGAGUUGCCAGAGGGSAGCUAGGCGGGCAGGUCCUUUGGGGCCUGAAAAGACCUAAGGGUUUCAGGUAUUCCCAGAGCAGCUCCCACCCACCCUGAGCCUGUCCUCUACCUGCUGAGGCAGGUGAGAUCCUGAACGAAACUUGCCCCGUUCCUUCCUGGGCUGUGAGUUGAGAACCUCUGGGCAGUUGCCCUAUCACCACUGUAAUACCCUGGGAGUCAGCAGACAGACAGACAGACAGACAGACAGAGCCGAUGACAGCCAGGGGCAGGUGGGCAGCAGGGGCUGGAGGAGGAACCGCAGAGGACUCCCACACACCUGUUGAAGGAAGGCUUUCAUGCAGUCUCUGGUGACUGGCUGGCCCAACCAUUCAGGGUAAAACAGGCCUUCUGGAACUUUCUUUCUUCUAUGAGAAUAGGAAUAUACGGAAUUCAUGACUUGCCUAAGGCGUGGGAGUAUUAGACUCCUGUCUGUGCUCUCUUUUGGAGCUCAAACUCUGCAGACAGGAGCCUGGACACACCUGGACCCUCCGUGUGAAGGGCCAGCCUCUGGUCUCCAGAUCCUCACAGGUGAGAGAGGUGCAGGGGACUGCAAAAUGUCUGCAGGUGCUCGGACAUGCCUGGGGUUCCAGGACACAAGAAUACAGCCUCACAGAGUGUGAAUACACUCUGCAG
rnacentral:lncRNA from 1 species